rnacentral:lncRNA from 1 species
GUUUAAUGGGAAAUUCUGAAGUAGUGACAUUCUUUCUGAUUUAGAGCAUUGUCACAUUUUGAAGGGUCAGAGUUUCCUGCAGAACAGAAAUUCCAAUUUUGACCAUCUCUCCGUGUAGUGAAUACUUCACUCACUGUGACUCUUUGCCAACUCAAUGAAAAGGGUUCAUUAUUUUGCAGAGGAUGGGUCUUUCUGCACUGCAGGGAUCUAUCUAUCACUGCUGACUCUCUGCAUCUUCUCCACAUGGAAGAAGUAAUUGGAUUGUAUUUUCUGCACACGACCAAGACAGCAGGGAAACCCAGAGCUGUAAGCCAGAGAACCAAGCUGUCUAGAGGGUAAGAAAGUACCUGAUGCUCAUGAAAACGAAAUGUCUUGGUCUAACAACAACAUCUUUCCUUUCUUCCCAUGGAAGAGCUGAGACAUGCUGAACUGCAUUCAUCAGAGUGCUCAGGAAGGUGAGCUCUUCAAGGAGAAGUGAAAACCAUAAACACCCAAAUGAUCCAUUCAAAAGUGUAGCCCAGGGACAUUAAAUCCUGUGACUAUACAAAAAAAUAAGUAAGCUGUGGGAUGCUAAAUGUACAGGACAUUUCUUAAAGUUACAAUGCAAUUACUGCAAAAUCCAGUGGCUUUUUUACACUGCCAGGGCGUC